AGAGUUAAACAGUACGUGAAAUUGUUGAAAGGGAAACGAUUGAAGUCAGUCGUACCGAUGGGCACUCAGCUUCUCGGGUGGGAUCGUGUCAGAUGUGGGAAGAUUUCACUUUGCCAUUGUUCCUGCCUCUGGGGUGUAAUUGUCCGUAUGGUAGGUUAACAUCAAUUUUGGUCGUCAUAAAAUGACGGGAGGAAUGUAGCUUCCCUCGGGAAGUGUUAUAGCCUCUGGUAGAUGUGAUGAUCGGGAUUGAGGAUUGCAACGAAUACCUUUCGGGGCUACCUGUCUGGCCUCUGGUCGUCGCCUUGGUGCCGAAAGCGUGCUUAUGGUAUCAAAGUUUGGUGGUUAAAAGGUUUUAGCACGGGUUAUAUUCGUUAAGGAUGUUGACGUAAUGACUUUAAACGACC
rnacentral:rRNA from 1 species